rnacentral:rRNA from 1 species
GACGAACGCUGGCGGCGUGCUUAACACAUGCAAGUCGAACGGAAAGGCCCUGCUUUGGUGGGGUGCUCGAGUGGCGAACGGGUGAGUAACACGGGAGUAACCUGCCCUUGACGUUGGGAUAACUUCAGGAAACUGGGGCUAAUACCGGAUAGGAGCUCCUGCUGCAUGGUGGGGGUUGGAAAGUUUCGGCGGUUGGGGAUGGACUCGCGGCUUAUCAGCUUGUUGGUGGGGUAGUGGCUUACCAAGGCUUUGACGGGUAGCCGGCCUGAGAGGGUGACCGGCCACCUUGGGCCUGAGAUACGGACCAGACUCCUACGGGAGGCAGCAGUGGGGAAUAUUGCACAAUGGGCGGAAGCCUGAUGCAGCAACGCCGCGUGCGGGAUGACGGCCUUCGGGUUGUAAACCGCUUUCGCCUGUGACGAAGCGUGAGUGACGGUACUGGGUAAAGAAGCACCGGCUAACUACGUG